rnacentral:lncRNA from 1 species
CGUGAUCGUGACGUUAAGGGCGGUGCCCAGUCAGCGAGGUAGGUCGGGAAGGCAGCCGGCCGCCCCAAAUCUAGAACCGCUGCAGUGCCGAGCUUCCAGGGACGUGAAGCCGGAAAGCCAGGCGCCCUUCUUGACUGCGCCUAGGUGGAACUGGCCCUCCAGCAGCUUGAACGUAGCCUCUUUUCACACUGGUAGUUCCUGAGCCUCUUGUGAAAUGAAAGAUGUUCCUCAGUCCAAGCUGAGGACGGAGAAAAGCCGUAAAGCUGACACUGAUGAAAAGCGCAUUCGUGUUUUCCUUUAGGACCCCUCUCUUACCACCAUCUCUGUUCCAGCUUGGUAAAACUGGCCAGUUGUCCAAGGCAAAGAGAAGAGCUCUAUCUGCAGUCAUCCCUCACACCUACCUCCACCCUAAGAUCAUGGUGUCAGUUGUUGACAUUCCCCUGGGAAGCCAGUCAUCUAUCUAUGCACCAGUGGCAUCUGAGCAGUCAUCUUGCCAAGGUUACAUAGGCUAGCUGCUUUACUCCUUCUCCCACCUGGGUGUCUAACCCAACUUGGCAGCUUGUUGAGUCUUAUAGCUCUGAGAGCCCAGUGCAUUUCCUCCCUGUUUCAUUCUUACAAGGAGGGGUGUGAAAUAGGCAAUAGAGAGUAUUAAUAGUUGUGUCUGAGAGGAUUGGUGGGAUCAAUUUUAUUCUUGUGCUUUGUUGGAUUGGUUAGUGGUUUCCCCAGCAUCCUAAUGUAAAAGCUGUUGUUUGCAGGAGCUAGAAUGACUUGUCAGCCACCUUUGAGCAAGAACUUGCCUGGAGUCCAAAUGUAUGGCUAUUGAAGGGUAGUAAGCAGACAGCACUAAAAGUCAUCCAUUUGUUAUGGAUUUAUCUUAAGACCCUCAUUUGAGAGAUACCUUCCCUGUACCUGGAGGAAAGAAACAUCCUUAUCUCUGAAGACACAGGGCCACAGAGAAGAGUCUGAACAAACAGGCUUUACCAAUUUCCCCCAGUUGUUACCGUUAGAUCAGACCUUUGUCCAGUCAUACCUUUCCACAAGUUGUCCACUCAUCAACCCUAAGCAUAAAAAUGCACAAGUUUCCCUGUUUGUUUGGGUCUUCAUUUCCAAGGGCUCCUAUGUCAUGUUAAACUUUUAAAUAAAUUUG